UACAGGGGGUGCAAACGUUGCUCGGAAUCAUUGGGCGUAAAGCGCACGUAGGCGGUUCGUUAUGUCGGAUGUGAAAGCCCUUGGCUUAACCGAGGAAGUGCAUCCGAAACUGGCGAGCUAGAGUACGAAAGAGGAUCGCGGAAUUCCCGGUGUAGAGGUGAAAUUCGUAGAUAUCGGGAGGAACACCGGUGGCGAAGGCGGCGAUCUGGGUCGAUACUGACGCUGAGGUGCGAAAGCGUGGGGAGCAAACCGG
rnacentral:rRNA from 1 species